GAGAUUUGGGAAGCUAUAACUAACUAAUAUCUAUUGUACGUUACUUAAAAAAGAAAAGAACACAGUGAUCGGUGAGAAUUUCAACUAAAUGCAUCAAUUGUUAACUGGUAAAAGUUUGAUGUACUGCUAUUAUAUGAGGUUUUUCAUAUCGGAUAACUUCCCUCUACCAAAGGAUAAUCUUAGUACUGCAAUUUUGUUUGGUUUAACUUG